CCUAAGGAAGCGUUUUGCCUACAUGGACAGAAAUUGCUCCUUCAAGGGCGCGCUUUAUGUCCAAGUAGGCAAAACGCUUCCUCAAGG
rfam:Gossypium raimondii Chr13_contig_1183, whole genome shotgun sequence.